rnacentral:rRNA from 1 species
GUCUAUGGCCAUACCACCCUGAACGCGCCCGAUCUCGUCUGAUCUCGGAAGCUAAGCAGGGUCGGGCCUGGUUAGUACUUAGAUAGGAGACUGCCUGGGACUACUGGGUGCUGUAGGCU